UCAGGUGGCCGCAGAGAAUAGGCCCAAGCGACUGUUUACCAAAAACAUAGGUUUCUGCUAAGUCGCAAGACGAUGUAUAGGAGCUGACGCCUGCCCGGUGCUGGAAGGUUAAGGGGAUCUGUUAGAGCAAUCGAAGCAGUGAACUUAAGCCCCAGUAACCGGCGGCCGUAACUAUAACGGUCCUAAGGUAGCGAAAUUCCUUGUCGGGUAAGUUCCGACCCGCACGAAAGGCGUAACGAUUUGGGCACUGUCUCAACAACAGACUCGGUGAAAUUGUAAUUCCGGUGAAGAUGCCGGAUACCUGCGACAGGACGGAAAGACC
rnacentral:rRNA from 1 species